rnacentral:rRNA from 1 species
GAUGAACGCUGGCGGCGUGCCUAAUACAUGCAAGUCGAGCGAACAGACGAGGAGCUUGCUCCUCUGACGUUAGCGGCGGACGGGUGAGUAACACGUGGAUAACCUACCUAUAAGACUGGGAUAACUUCGGGAAACCGGAGCUAAUACCGGAUAAUAUAUUGAACCGCAUGGUUCAAUAGUGAAAGACGGUUUUGCUGUCACUUAUAGAUGGAUCCGCGCCGCAUUAGCUAGUUGGUAAGGUAACGGCUUACCAAGGCAACGAUGCGUAGCCGACCUGAGAGGGUGAUCGGCCACACGGGAACUGAGACACGGUCCAGACUCCUACGGGAGGCAGCAGUAGGGAAUCUUCCGCAAUGGGCGAAAGCCUGACGGAGCAACGCCGCGUGAGUGAUGAAGGUCUUCGGAUCGUAAAACUCUGUUAUUAGGGAAGAACAAAUGUGUAAGUAACUAUGCACGUCUUGACGGUACCGAAUCAGAAAGCCACGGCUAACUACGUG